GAGCCCCGCCCGCCCCCUCUCUCGCCGCCGGGGCCCGGCGCUCGCCCUGCCGCCCUCCCUUGGAUGCCGCCGAGAUGGGCAAGGUGCUGUCCAAGAUCUUCGGGAACAAGGAGAUGCGGAUCCUGAUGCUGGGGCUGGACGCGGCCGGCAAGACCACGAUCCUGUACAAGCUGAAGCUGGGCCAGUCGGUGACCACCAUCCCCACCGUGGGCUUCAACGUGGAGACCGUCACCUACAAGAACGUCAAGUUCAACGUGUGGGACGUGGGCGGCCAGGACAAGAUCCGGCCCCUCUGGCGGCACUACUACACGGGCACGCAGGGGCUCAUCUUCGUGGUGGACUGCGCCGACCGCGACCGCAUCGACGAGGCGCGGCAGGAGCUGCACCGCAUCAUCAACGACCGGGAGAUGCGGGACGCCAUCAUCCUCAUCUUCGCCAACAAGCAGGACCUGCCCGACGCCAUGAAACCCCACGAGAUCCAGGAGAAACUGGGCCUGACCCGGAUCAGGGAUAGGAAUUGAAAAGUUCUGUUAAUCUGUAACUAAACAGCGACUCGGUCUGGCUCCACGGCUCAGGCUAACGAGGGGAAUUCUUGCCUGCAGUGGCAGAGAGUGGGAAUUCCACUGUUAAGGUGUGUUUCGAAGUGCAUAUCGGGCGCCGGGAAAUGUUAAGAACUGCUUUUGGAAUGUCAGCUGGGGAGCUCUGCCCCAUCAUACAUCAUGCAUGAGGAGGGGAUGCAAAGCAGCUCCCCACGCCACACAGCAAGCGGGACAGGAACGAUGUCCGUAGUUCCAGAAUAUAAGUUUUACGUGGAAUUGGGGGCGUUACACUACAUUGCUGCAGUGGUGACUCUGCAUGGAGAGUACGUUGUAUUAUGGAGCUCUUACCAAAGAUGUGUGGGAAGACAAAAAUCCUGAAUUCACUUCUCAAAUCCAAUGCUUUGCUCGAAGUCCUUUUAGAAUAUGGUUCCAAAAAGACUUGUCUGGAUGUGGGUUGCAAAUGGGACUGGAUGGGUUCUUGGUGCUAGAAGAUAGAGCAUUGAUGGACUUUGUGAGUUAGGGAGUCUGGAGAAGCUCAAUGUAGAAAUAACUCUUCAAUCUCAGCCCUAAAGAAGAGGAAGUGGGAUUAGUUUACUUUAAUCCAAGGCUUUUUUGCCGUUGGAAAAAUCAUUGCUCUAUUUUCUAGCUUUUAUUUUCUUUUUUUUUUUUUUUCCUGUUGCUGUAACUUAACAAACAAGUGUGGUGGUAUAAAAACUUAAAAAAAAAAAAUACAAGAGUAUGGUUACUGUUUUCUUCUGGAGCAUCAAUAAAAUAGCCAAGCACAAAGUAAAUGCCUAAACUGGAAAACUUGAAGCUCUAUUAAUGGUUCUUGAACUUUCUUAAACCUAUUCUCAGUCAACAUGAAAACUUCAGUAACUUCAUUUUUCGUCUGAGUUGGUUUCCUGUGUUUCCAAGUGCUGGGGCAGCCUUUGCGUUGACUUCACAACUUUGUAUUCCCUUAGUGACUUUGUUAUUCUGUUUUUGUAGGUGAAAGGAAACUGCUUUUGCUUCUGGAAUUUUUUUAAUGUUUUGGGGUUUUUUUUUUGGGGGGGGGAGGAACGGGGAAGGAGAAAGGGGGAGGAAAAGUUACUGAAAGAUGUGGCAGAGAUGUCAAAAAUAAAGGGCCGUCGGUACCGAACAAACCCCACAGGUUUCACUUCCAACAUGUCCUUUCUAGGCUGUAGCUGAACCUCCACCACGAGGUAGUGGCUCACAGGCCGGAUAAAGUGGGAAUCCUGUACGAAACCUGGUGAUUUCCAAACCCAUCUGGAGUUCCAAGCGCGUCGAUUCGUGUCCGUGUGAGUUCUGUGGAGUAAGUUCUGAGUGGCGUCAAAUCGUGUCCGACCAGUGACUGAGUUUGUGGCCUGUGACCCCCCCUGACUGGAGUAACCAGGAAUUCUGUGUUCUCAAUAUGGCUGUAGUGUUGGUAAAGAACUACUAAGCAGAAAAAAUAAAGCAAUUACACAGCGGA